UAGUGAAAGUUCAGAGUAGGCCGCUCGUGGUAGAAGUUCGGCUAUCGCAGGAGCUCAGCUAGAAUUCUGAAAGCGGUCGAUCACCGUAGAAACAUGGAAGGAGCCUGGUUACUGUAGAAAUCUCAUUAUCGGGGAAGCUCGGAUGCUGACGAAGCUCGAAAGAAGUUCGGGGGUAGUCGAUUGCUAUAGAAGGACGGUUAAUAGCGA
rnacentral:lncRNA from 1 species